rnacentral:rRNA from 1 species
UACGGAGGGUGCAAGCGUUGUCCGGAUUUAUUGGGUUUAAAGGGUGCGUAGGCGGCCCGGUAAGUCAGCGGUGAAAGCCUCCAGCUCAACUGGAGAACUGCCAUUGAUACUGCCGGGCUUGAGUACAGACGAGGUUGGCGGAAUUGAUUGUGUAGCGGUGAAAUGCAUAGAUACAAUCAAGAACUCCGAUUGCGUAGGCAGCUAACUAGGCUGUAACUGACGCUGAGGCACGAAAGCGUGGGGAGCGAACAGG